rnacentral:lncRNA from 1 species
GACUCAUUUAAAAAAAAAUGUUAACGUAUUUUAGACAUCUUCUAUACAUUAGCCUAGCGUUUUUCAAAAUCGGAGUUGGCAACACUGACGCCGAAGUGAUUUGUCAACGCGUCUUGUGUUAAUUUUUUUGCGGUUAUCUAUCACAUCACAGAUCUAACAACUUACAAGUUCAAUGGAGUAAGUGAUCGAAUCUUUAAAAACAUGGGAGUUGGAGAACUUAAUACGAAAAUUCACCACCCCGGAAUCGGACGCUAAUAAAACCAUGUUCCGAUGGUAAUAGGCGACGCCCAGCGUGCCCGGGUGUUGAAAUAAGUGCAAAACUGCUCUCCGCUCGCCUUUUGUCCACCAACGGGUUCACGCCGCGUCGCCUAAUCCUCGCGCCGGUCGCCAGCAUUCCCCGCUGUGUUCCGGUAACCUACAGGCGGCAAGCUGACGCUGCCGUCAUCCACACGACACCAUCUCUGAGGCGGCUGACGUGGCAGUCGUGGUGGUCUGAGGCGGCUGACGUAGCACGUUUGAGACCCUGAUGGAUUUUUCUGAGUUUAACAUAAGCACAGACCUAAUAGUUAUAGAAACUUCAGAAAAGGAAAACUUGUCCUCGGAAAAGGAAAAUGUGCCAUCUGCAAUUGCUGAGAAGAAAGCAGAGCCCAGUUAUAAUUCCAGGAUUGUGGAAAAGUCAUUGGACUCUGCAUCACUAUUUUGAAAAUAUUCUGCUCUCAAAAAACCACAAGGAUAUUCUUUGCGGCUUAACGACUUCAAAAGCACAUGAAAUUUACUAGGACAAUUUGUUUAUAAAUUUUCCAUCAAUGAAAAUAAAUCUUCAGGAACAGCUGAAAUACAAAAAGUCGAACUUACUGCACUUACCAAUUCGCCCUAUGAGGAAACAACGAAUAUAGCCGGAUUUCUCACCAUUCCAUUUUUGCUGAACACUGCGGCAGUCCGCCAAAAGAAGAAGCGAGGUUCCGGUGCAAGUCAAAAUUGGAAGCCCAGUAAAAUGGAAGUAAGGGAAGGUUUCAUAAAGCAUAUCCGCUCUAGUGUAGAAAUUAGCCAGACCAUCGAACUUCGCAUAGCCACACUUCAAAAAAUAGGAUUGUCAUGCCAGCCAUACAUAAUUGUUAUGGGUGAGUCUCUUGAAAAAAUCGAAUCAUUUCUAGUUGUUGUCAGCAGAUCGAUAAUCUAUGAAAGACAGUCCAUUAUGAACGCAGUAGAUACGUGCUACAAAAUAUAUAAUACAAUGAAAAUAUAAUACAUUGUACUUACUGGUGAACUCUGGUAUUAAGACGAUACAGGAGUGAUCUAUUCUCCAUACAAACGCUCUCGACUAUU